GACGAACGCUGGCGGCGUGCUUAACACAUGCAAGUCGAGCGGAAAGGCCCUGCUUGCACGGUACUCGAGUGGCGAACGGGUGAGUAACACGUGGGUGUUCUGCCCUUCACUUCGGGAUACGCCUGGGAAACGGGGCUUAUUCCGCGUUAGUCGUCAUUGUUAGUGUGAUGGUUGGUAAGUUUUUUCGGUGUAGGAUGAGCUGGCGGCCUAUAAGCUUGUUGGUGGGGUAAUGGCCUACCAAGGCGGCGACGGGUAGCCGGCCUGAGAGGGUGAACGGCCAUACUGGGUCCGAGGGAAGGCCCAGGUGCCGACUGUUGGAAGCAGGGGGGAAGCCUGAUCAAGGGGUGCAAGGCGGGUGCAGAGGGGCCGCGGGGGGUAUAACGGUCUUAGGUGUGUAAAAGCGUUGCGAGAGGGACGAAGCCUUUUGUGACGGUACCUAGAGAAGAAGCACCGGCUAACUACGUG
rnacentral:rRNA from 1 species